rnacentral:rRNA from 1 species
UACAGAGGUCUCGAGCGUUAGGCGGAAUCACUGGGCGUAAAGGGUGCGUAGGUGGCAUGGUAAGUCGGAUGUGAAAUCCCGGGGCUCAACCCCGGAACUGCAUUCGAUACUGCUGAGCUAGAGUACUGGAGAGGAGAUUGGAAUUUACGGUGUAGCAGUGAAAUGCGUAGAUAUCGUAAGGAAGACCAGUGGCGAAGGCGGAUCUCUGGACAGUUACUGACACUGAGGCACGAAGGCCAGGGGAGCAAACGGG